GCUUCUUCUUCAGUCAUUUCAGCUAUAUUAUUGCUCAACUUCCCAGCUCUCACAGUGUCCACAGUCUCCAACUUGUGUUGUUCAUAUGCAGCAUAAACUUCUUCAGUAUAUUCCCCAAAGCCAAGAACCUCUAAGGCUUUGAGUACAUGUUCUGGUGCAAUUGUUCGUUUAUCUUCUCUAUUACAAACUUCAUUUGAUUCUGAUGAGAUAAGAUUGAUGA
rnacentral:misc_RNA from 1 species